UACAUGGGGUGCAAACGUUGCUCGGAAUUAUUGGGCGUAAAGCGCACGUAGGCGGUUUGUUGAGUCGGAUGUGAAAUCCCUCGGCUCAACUGAGGAAGUGCAUCCGAAACUGGCAAGCUUGAGUACGAAAGAGGGUCGCGGAAUUCCCGGUGUAGAGGUGAAAUUCGUAGAUAUCGGGAGGGAACAACCGGUGGCGAAGGCGGCGACCUGGGUCGAUACUGACGCUGAGGAGCGAAAGCGUGGGGAGCGAACAGG
rnacentral:rRNA from 1 species